rnacentral:rRNA from 1 species
GUCUACGGCCAUACCACCCUGAACACGCCCGAUCUCGUCUGAUCUCGGAAGCUAAGCAGGGUCGGGCCUGGUUAGUACUUGGAUGGGAGAAGUUAGACAGCGGCU